GAUGAACGCUGGCGGCGUGCCUAAUACAUGCAAGUUGAGCGAACGGACGAGAAGCUUGCUUCUCUGAUGUUAGCGGCGGACGGGUGAGUAACACGUGGAUAACCUACCUAUAAGACUGGGAUAACUUCGGGAAACCGGAGCUAAUACCGGAUAAUAUUUUGAACCGCAUGGUUCAAAAGUGAAAGACGGUCUUGCUGUCACUUAUAGAUGGAUCCGCGCUGCAUUAGCUAGUUGGUAAGGUAACGGCUUACCAAGGCAACGAUGCAUAGCCGACCUGAGAGGGUGAUCGGCCACACGGGAACUGAGACACGGUCCAGACUCCUACGGGAGGCAGCAGUAGGGAAUCUUCCGCAAUGGGCGAAAGCCUGACGGAGCAACGCCGCGUGAGUGAUGAAGGUCUUCGGAUCGUAAAACUCUGUUAUUAGGGAAGAACAUAUGUGUAAGUAACUGUGCACAUCUUGACGGUACCUAAUCAGAAAGCCACGGCUAACUACGUG
rnacentral:rRNA from 1 species